GCAUGUGAGGGUGCUCUGGCUGUGGCAUCUGUCACCCCUGUGAUCGCCAGCGUUGAUUCAACUGAUCCAGCUGGCUUGGGGAUGUCCCCGUCCUCCCUCACCGCUCCAUGUGUGUCUCCCAUGAAGCUGUGUGCUUGGCCAGAGAGGAUGACCUUCCCCAGUAGAGGACCAUCCUUUGGUCAAGGAUAUACCAGUAGCUCCACUCCCCUGCUCUCAAGCUCUCAAGCUCCAUUUGUAGGAGAGUGUAUGAUAGUCAAGCUUCCAAGACUCCAGACACAUCCCAAUGAGGCACUACAUGUAGCAGUCCACCUUCCAAA
rfam:Canis lupus familiaris chromosome 3, whole genome shotgun sequence.